rnacentral:rRNA from 1 species
CCUACGGGUGGCAGCAGUGAGGAAUAUUGGUCAAUGGGCGGGCGCCUGAACCAGCCAAGUCGCGUGAGGGAAGACGGUCCUAUGGAUUGUAAACCUCUUUAGUCGGGGAGCAAUGCCGGGCACGCGUACCCUGAGGGAUAGUACCCGCAGAAUAAGCAUCGGCUAACUCCGUGCCAGCAGCCGCGGUAAUACGGGGGAUGCGAGCGUUAUCCGGAUUAAUUGGGUUAAAAGGGUGCGUAGGCGGAUUGUUAAGUCAGCGGUAAAAUUACGGGGCUCAACCCCGGCCGGCCGUUGACACUGGGGAUCUUGAGUUGGAGAGAAGUAUGCGGAAUGCGUGGUGUAGCGGUGAAAUGCAUAGAUAUAACGAAGAACUCCGAUUGCGAAGGCAGCAUACUGGCGCCAGACUGACGCUGAGGCACGAAAGCGUGGGGAUCGAACAGGAUUAGAUACCCGGGUAGUC